GACGAACGCUGGCGGCGUGCUUAACGCAUGCAAGUCGAACGAGAAAGCCCUUCGGGGUAAGUACAGUGGCGAACGGGUGAGUAACACGUGGGCAACCUGCCCCAGAGAGCGGGACAACCCGGGGAAACCCGGGCUAAUACCGCAUGAUGCGUCUCCACUUAAGUGGAGCCGCCAAAUGGUAGCUUCGGCCUCCGCUCUGGGAUGGGCCCGCGCCGGAUUAGCUAGUUGGUUGGGGUAACGGCCCACCAAGGCGACGAUCCGUAGCUGGUCUGAGAGGACGAUCAGCCGCACGGGGACUGAGACACGGCCCAGACUCCUACGGGAGGCAUCAGUGGGGAAUCUUGCGCAAUGGGCGAAAGCCUGACGCAGCAACGCCGCGUGGGGGAAGAAGGCCUUCGGGUUGUAAACCUCUUUCAGUAGGGACGAAGCUUCCGGGGUUAAUAGCCUACGGGGUGACGGUACCUACAGAAGAAGCCCCGGCUAACUACGUGCCAGCCGCCGCCGUAA
rnacentral:rRNA from 1 species